rnacentral:rRNA from 1 species
UACGGGAGGCAGCAGUGGGGAAUAUUGCACAAUGGGCGAAAGCCUGAUGCAGCUAUGCCGCGUGUAUGAAGAAGGCCUUAGGGUUGUAAAGUACUUUCAUCGGGGAGGAAAAAACAAAACUAAUAAUUUUAUUUCUUGACGUUACCCGAAAAAGAAGCACCGGCUAACUCCGUGCCAGCAGCCGCGGUAAUACGGAGGGUGCUAGCGUUAAUCAGAAUUACUGGGCGUAAAGAGCACGUAGGUGGUUUUUUUAAGUCAGAUGUGAAAUCCCUGGGCUUAACCUAGGAACUGCAUUUUGAAACUGAAAUACUAGAGUAUCGUAGAGGGAGGUAGAAUUCUAGGUGUAGCGGUGAAAUGCGUAGAUAUCUGGAGGAAUACCUGUGGCGAAAGCGGCCUCCUAAACGAAUACUGACACUGAGGUGCGAAAGCGUGGGGAGCAAACGAGGGAUUAGACUACC